ensembl:misc_RNA
UUGACAGCACUAGAAAAUGAAGAUUUCUCUUUGUCCACAGCACAGGAAUAGUGGCAGUGCAAGCUUCCCCACUUUGCCGUGCGAGGGAUCUCCAAACCUGUUUUAGGAGGGCUGUGUGAGGCCAGGCAGGGCCCCCAUGCCCAUUCGGCAAAGGAGCAAAG